GGAGAGGUGCCGGAGCGGCUGAACGGGCUCGCCUGGAAAGCGAGUGUACCCUAACCGGGUACCGAGGGUUCGAAUCCCUCCCUCUCCGCCA
rnacentral:tRNA from 1 species